CAAUAGCGUAUAUUAAAGUUGUUGCAGUUAAAAAGCUCGUAGUUGGAUCUCGGGUCCAGGCUUGUGGUGCAGCUUAGGCUGCUGACUGCCCGUCCUGACCUCCCUCCCGGUUUUCCCUUGGUGCUCUUAAGUGAGUGUCUUGGGUGGCCGGAACGUUUACUUUGAAAAAAUUAGAGUGCUCAAAGCAGGCUUUCGCCUGAAUAUUAGUGCAUGGAAUAAUUGAAUAGGACCUCGGUUCUAUUUUGUUGGUUUUCGGAACUCGAGGUAAUGAUUAAGAGGGACAGACGGGGGCAUUCGUAUUACGGUGUUAGAGGUGAAAUUCUUGGAUCGCCGUAAGACGAACUACUGCGAAAGCAUUUGCCAAGCAUGUUUUCAUUAG
rnacentral:rRNA from 1 species